AUUGAACGCUGGCGGCAGGCCUAACACAUGCAAGUCGAACGGCAGCACAGAGAGCUUGCUCUCGGGUGACGAGUGGCGGACGGGUGAGUAACGUCUGGGAAACUGCCCGAUGGAGGGGGAUAACUACUGGAAACGGUAGCUAAUACCGCAUAACGUCGCAAGACCAAAGUGGGGGACCUUCGGGCCUCACACCAUCGGAUGUGCCCAGAUGGGAUUAGCGAGUAGGUGGGGUAAUGGCUCACCUAGGCGACGAUCCCUAGCUGGUCUGAGAGGAUGACCAGCCACACUGGGACUGAGACACGGCCCAGACUCCUACGGGAGGCAGCAGUGGGGAAUAUUGCACAAUGGGCGCAAGCCUGAUGCAGCCAUGCCGCGUGUGUGAAGAAGGCCUUCGGGUUGUAAAGCACUUUCAGCGAGGAGGAAGGGUGGUGUGUUAAUAGCACACGACAUUGACGUUACUCGCAGAAGAAGCACCGGCUAACUCCGUGCCAGCCGCCGCAGUAA
rnacentral:rRNA from 1 species